rnacentral:lncRNA from 1 species
GGACUGAAUAUGCUAUAAAUAGGGGAGGAGAGAGAAGGGAGGUUGUGGUUUUAAACAGAAUGUCAGAAUAGGCCUCAUUGGUAGGACAACACUUGCAGAAAGGCUUGAAUCAGAAAUGUGAGAUUUGAUCAUGCCAGUGCAUUGGUGAAGAUGGUCAUGGACAGAGGGAAUAACCAGGGCAAAGGUUCUGUGUUAGCCUAUUCAGGCUGCUAUAGCAAACUACACAAACUGGGUAGCUUAAACAACAGUUUUCCCAGCUGCAUAGGCUGAAUGUCCAAGGUCUGGGUGCCAGCAUGCAUGGGUUCCUGGUAAGGGCCUGCUCUUUUUCAUCCCUUUUUAAGAGCCCCAGUCCAAUCCUAGGGGCUCCACCCGAAACCUAAUCACCUCCCAAAGGCCCAACCUCCAAAUACCAUCACAUUGGAGACUAGGUUUCAACAUAUGAAUUUUAGGGGGACACAAACAUUUAGUCUAUAGUAGGUCUCAGGUUCCAAUUCCAGGGGUAUUGGAACAGCAUAGAAGCCAGCAUGCCUAGAGCAGAUAGUGUGAUAACUAAGAGGUGAGAAGUGAGAAUUAACGGGGACACAGGUCACAGAGGACUUUGCAGGCUGUUUGAAGAACUGUGUGUUUUUUUCCCAAGGAUCAUGGGAGCUCUGACAGGGUUUUGAUCAGAUGAAUGAUGUGAUUCACUUUCAACACUAGAUCUUACAGUCUGAGCUACAUGAAGAGAGACAAUCAAUCUCUCUCCCUUUUUCUUUUUAGGCCCUGUUACCCAGGGAGCAGGUCAAGCAUCCACCCAUCACCAAACAUUGUUUCCCAAGAUGCUGUUGCUUGGUUGGGAACAUGACCUAAUGGUGGCUACCAUUCAGCUCUUUCCAACUCCAUGUUCUGUGACUUCAUAUUGGUAAGUUGAAAUCUACUAUGGCGCAAGUAUUUACACUACAGAAAUUGGCAAAAUCUGUGAUUUAGUGCUUUUUCCUCCUGAAAAGCUGGCCGUUGAACAUUUACCAGCAUAUGACAGGGUAUAAGAGUUAAAGGAAC